GAGUUUGAUCGUGGCUCAGAUUGAACGCUGGCGGCAUGCCUUACACAUGCAAGUCGAACGGCAGCAUGAUCUAGCUUGCUAGAUUGAUGGCGAGUGGCGAACGGGUGAGUAAUACAUCGGAACGUGCCCUGUAGUGGGGGAUAACUAGUCGAAAGAUUAGCUAAUACCGCAUACGACCUGAGGGUGAAAGUGGGGGACCGCAAGGCCUCAUGCUGUAGGAGCGGCCGAUGUCUGAUUAGCUAGUUGGUGGGGUAAAGGCCCACCAAGGCGACGAUCAGUAGCUGGUCUGAGAGGACGAUCAGCCACACUGGGACUGAGACACGGCCCAGACUCCUACGGGAGGCAGCAGUGGGAAUUUUGGACAAUGGGCGAAAGCCUGAUCCAGCAAUGCCGCGUGUGUGAAGAAGGCCUUCGG
rnacentral:rRNA from 1 species